rnacentral:rRNA from 1 species
CAGUCGCCGCGGUAAUACAGAGGGUGCGAGCGUUAAUCGGAUUUACUGGGCGUAAAGCGUGCGUAGGCGGCCUUUUAAGUCGGAUGUGAAAUCCCUGAGCUUAACUUAGGAAUUGCAUUCGAUACUGGGAAGCUAGAGUAUGGGAGAGGAUGGUAGAAUUCCAGGUGUAGCGGUGAAAUGCGUAGAGAUCUGGAGGAAUACCGAUGGCGAAGGCAGCCAUCUGGCCUAAUACUGACGCUGAGGUACGAAAGCAUGGGGAGCAAACAGGAUUAGAUACCCGUGUAGUCCCUGUCUCUUAUAC